rnacentral:rRNA from 1 species
GAUGAACGCUGGCGGCGUGCCUAAUACAUACAAGUCGAGCGAACAGACGAGGAGCUUGCUCCUCUGACGUUAGCGGCGGACGGGUGAGUAACACGUGGAUAACCUACCUAUAAGACUGGGAUAACUUCGGGAAACCGGAGCUAACACCGGAUAAUAUAUUGAACCGCAUGGUUCAAUAGUGAAAGACGGUUUUGCUGUCACUUAUAGAUGGAUCCGCGCCGCAUUAGCUAGUUGGUAAGGUAACGGCUUACCAAGGCGACGAUGCGUAGCCGACCUGAGAGGGUGAUCGGCCACACUGGAACUGAGACACGGUCCAGACUCCUACGGGAGGCAGCAGUAGGGAAUCUUCCGCAAUGGGCGAAAGCCUGACGGAGCAACGCCGCGUGAGUGAUGAAGGUCUUCGGAUCGUAAAACUCUGUUAUUAGGGAAGAACAAAUGUGUAAGUAACUAUGCACGUCUUGACGGUACCUAAUCAGAAAGCCACGGCUAACUACGUG